AAAAAUACACAAAUCCACAAAUAAUAAGCAAUUUUCAAUUGAGACCAAAAAAUUAAAAAAAAACGGAAUAUUCUCCUCAAUAAUUCUUUAAAUUUGUCUGGACCCAACAACCGAAGAGACUUCGACAAUUUAAGAGAGAGAGAUAGAGAGAGAAAGAGAGAGUCAUCAUCAUCAUCAUCGAUCGAUCGAGCCGUCAGUCGUCGCACGAACAACAGCAACAUCAACAGCAACAAAUCAUUAACACAUUGGUGUUUUAGAUGAUUGCAAAAAAACUCAAUUGUUCUAUUUAAAG
rnacentral:sRNA from 1 species